AGUUGCCAAUUUAAAUUAAGUAGUAAACUGGUAAAUUGUCUCAUAUAGGUUAGAAACCACAUAGUUGUAGGCCAUUUUUGAGAAGAAGAUUUAACUACUCCCUCUCAAAUCUAGACAUUUCUCGCGCCACUUUCUUUUCCAAAAAAAUAGGAAGCUGAUCAUCUUGCACGUUGUGCUAGCGAAUUUUAGCGGAGCUUUGAUAGCUUUCUAGGAUCUCGAGAUAGACAAUUAUUGAAUUAUCUUAAAGGAUAAAAUAAUCAACUGUUGUUGGAUUUGUAGUCUACUCGAAAUUACCACUAAUAAGGCCAUACUACACCUCUGGCCUUUUUAUUUUUGUUUUCCUUCUACUUCUGUACUCCAACUUGUAAAUGCUGCAACUUCAUGAUCCACAAGUAGAUAAUUAAAUAUAGCCUAGGAGACGUAAGCUCGAACUCUUCAUACCGUUCCAGGGUAUUUACUGUACAGGCAGAACAAGGAGCCCUACACUUCAUUACCAACAACCAAGUAAGCUCUUUCCAUUUUCCUGCGCCAAACAGAAGUAACUAAAACCAAAA
rnacentral:lncRNA from 1 species